rnacentral:snoRNA from 1 species
GUAUAUGAUGAUCAUGCACAACUCACGACGGUCAACUGAAUCUUUGUGAUUGAUAAUACGGCUGUGACUAGCCGUGCGACCUGAAA